AGCAUCUACAUAAAAGAUAAGGAGUAUAUUUAUGUAUGCAGAUAAUAAAAUGAAUGGUUUCUACCUGAUAAUUUGCUGGUAAAAUGUGGUUACUUUCACAGUGUUCAUUAUGUAAAUGAAAGAUGCAAGAUACAAGGAUUUUUAUUAAUCACCACAAUUGUCUCGACAAGUCUAGCAUUGACCCCUCAUGGGUGGGACACUCAACAACUGAUUCAGGAGCAUCCAACAGCACAGAUGUCUCUCUUCAGGUGAUAAAUAGAUAUAGCUCAUUAAAAUAACAGUUUUGCAAUGUAUCUUCUCAUUUCAUGUAAAGAAAAGCAGCAAAUUAAAGGAAAUAUCUUCAUUUAUAUAGAGGAUCGAUAAUAAAAUAACAAAUCCAAAAAAGAAACAAACACGCAAUACAUCGAGAAAAGUAUUCAAAGUAACUGUUAAUGGCUAUGAAUGUAUAAACACUCUUGCACAAGCUGCAUGGCACAUGUACACUCACUCAUACAAGCAUCCAUGAAGAUGCAAGCAUAUGCACAUGGUUUGGUGCACACAUUCACACAGUGAAUUAAAUAGCUGCUUGGUGCCUACAUACAUAUAAGUGUACUUUUACAGAAUGCAGUGGGAAUGAAUUUGAGAAAAUUUACUUAAAAGAUAUAGAAGAAUUAAGUUUAGUUUUGAACUCCCCAUCCUGGAAUGCACCUCAUAUAUCCAUCUAUCUAUUUAUCUGCCAUUAUCCUCCUUCCUUGCUGACAUGGAGGGUAAUGGAUGUGUAGUGAGAAUAUAUGUUCAGAAUUGGCUGCAUGUAUAUUAUUACAAGAAUUCUUACAGAGAAGAAGAAUAAAUUUAAGAACUACAUAUUUACUACAUAAAAAUAUAUUUUAUUCAUUGGCUGUUGAUGAAACAUAAUCAAAAUGUAGAAUCUAGUUGAAUGAAGUAAUCUAUGCAAGCCUAGAGAAAUAGAUGGACAUAGCAAUGACAUAAACGGCUCUGAGUCUAAUUGACUAAGAAGCGAAGAGCAGGGUAAGCAAGCUGUUUUUAUUAAUGGAACGCUAGACAUUCUAGAAACUUCUAAGAGAAACGCAAAGCUACUUGAAUAAUUAAGAAUUACAUCUCAUGACCCAGAUGCUUUGAGAAACUUAGUAAAGGGAGAUUAGUAGUAGUGAAGGAGGUGGCUUUGAGCCAAAGGACAGGAAUAAAGUCUUGAAGUAGAGGAGAUACAUGCCUGUGCAAGUUGGAGAGAGAGAGAGAUUGUGAAGAUGGGGGAGUUUACACUAAACAGACAUUAUAGAUUGUGUUCUCUUCUCAACAUGUUUUACCCAGCCAUCAAGUCUAUUUUCAUAAUAUAUUACAACUUUUGAAACCCUUCCCCAUCCAGCUUUUGUCUUUACCUAGCCAAAUCCAUCUCACAUUCUAAAAGUAAGGGACUAAAAAGAACAUGUCUAUUGUCAUUUCUCUCCUGACAAAU